UUUAAAGUGAUGACGAGAAGUAGUAGAUAUUUAUUGAUAUAUAUAGAGAGGAAGUGGCUGGUGAAAACUUCUUAAUCAAUUUAUCGAAGCAGUCUCUGAACUAUAUUAUUUAAGUGACACAAUUAUGUGUAAUUAGGGUGGUACCGCGGAAUUAUAGCUUUCGUCCCUUGG
rnacentral:ncRNA from 1 species